GACGAAGGGGGCUAGCGUUGUUCGGAAUUACUGGGCGUAAAGGGCGCGUAGGCGGCCUUCUAAGUCAGACGUGAAAUCCCCCGGCUUAACCUGGGAACUGCGUCUGAUACUGGAAGGCUUGAGUGCGGGAGAGGGAUGUGGAAUUCCAGGUGUAGCGGUGAAAUGCGUAGAUAUCUGGAGGAACACCGGUGGCGAAGGCGGCAUCCUGGACCGACACUGACGCUGAGGCGCGAAAGCUAGGGUAGCAAACGGG
rnacentral:rRNA from 1 species